UACGAGGGGGGCAAGCGUUGUUCGGAUUUAUUGGGCGUAAAGCGCGUGUAGGCGGCUCGAUAAGUCUGCUGUGAAAGUUCAGGGCUCAACCCUGAAAUGCCGGUGGAAACUGUCGGGCUAGAGUCCGGAAGAGGCGAGUGGAAUUCCUGGUGUAGCGGUGAAAUGCGCAGAUAUCAGGAGGAACACCAAUGGCGAAGGCAGCUCGCUGGGACGGUACUGACGCUGAGACGCGAAAGCGUGGGGAGCAAACAGG
rnacentral:rRNA from 1 species